GACGAACCGAGCGAACGUUGUUCGGAAUCACUGGGCUUAAAGGGCGCGUAGGCGGGCCGCCGCGUCCGGGGUGAAAUCCUCCCGCUCAACGGGAGAACGGCCUCGGAUACGGGCGGCCUGGAGGGGGGUAGGGGCGUGCGGAACUGUGGGUGGAGCGGUGAAAUGCGUUGAUAUCCACAGGAACUCCGGUGGCGAAGGCGGCACGCUGGACCCCACCUGACGCUGAGGCGCGAAAGCUAGGGGAGCAAACGGG
rnacentral:rRNA from 1 species